rnacentral:rRNA from 1 species
GCCUACGGGGGGCAGCAGUGAGGAAUAUUGGUCAAUGGGCUUACGCCUGAACCAGCCAAGUCGCGUGAGGGAAGACUGCCCUAUGGGUUGUAAACCUCUUUUGUCGGGGAGCAAAGCGAGUCACGUGUGACUCAUUGAGAGUACCCGAAGAAAAAGCAUCGGCUAACUCCGUGCCAGCAGCCGCGGUAAUACGGAGGAUGCGAGCGUUAUCCGGAUUUAUUGGGUUUAAAGGGUGCGCAGGCGGAGGUGCAAGUCAGCGGUCAAAUUGCGGGGCUCAACCCCGUACUGCCGUUGAAACUGCAUCC